rnacentral:rRNA from 1 species
GAUGAACGCUGGCGGCGUGCCUAAUACAUGCAAGUCGAGCGAACAGACGAGGAGCUUGCUCCUCUGACGUUAGCGGCGGACGGGUGAGUAACACGUGGAUAACCUACCUAUAAGACUGGGAUAACUUCGGGAAACCGGAGCUAAUACCGGAUAAUAUAUUGAACCGCAUGGUUCAAUAGUGAAAGACGGUUUUGCUGUCACUUAUAGAUGGAUCCGCGCCGCAUUAGCUAGUUGGUAAGGUAACGGCUUACCAAGGCAACGAUGCGUAGCCGACCUGAGAGGGUGAUCGGCCACACUGGAACUGAGACACGGUCCAGACUCCUACGGGAGACAGCAGUAGGGAAUCUUCCGCAAUGGGCGAAAGCCUGACGGAGCAACGCCGCGUGAGUGAUGAAGGUCUUCGGAUCGUAAAACUCUGUUAUUAGGGAAGAACAAAUGUGUAAGUAACUAUGCACGUCUUGACGGUACCUAAUCAGAAAGCCACGGCUAACUACGUG